AUUUCUCUUCUAUAUUGCACGGCAAAUAUAGACCGAUAUUACAACAGCGAAAUUUCUUUUUAAUCAAUGCAUGUCAAUAAGGCGCUCCUUUUCAUUAAUAUUUUCAUCUGAAGAACAUGAUGUCAGCUCCUGCGAUUGUUGUCAUAAUAUGUGGGUUGUAGCACUGCGUAAAUAAGGGCUGCGAUUUUGUUGCGAUGCUUUCCGCUCGAUGUUUGCCUCUCUUGUAACCCACCGUCCACGGCUCGCUGUACUAGUCAAUAACGAUGGCGGAAUGUCAGUCCGACCACUGAAGAAAAGGAGUAGCAUCGGAAAAGGCAUCGCUACAAAAUCGCGGCCUAGGUUUUAGACCGUUCAUAAUCGAUUCUUUUGAUUCACUACGUAUUUAGGUUUUGGUGAUAAUUUCCCAGGUAGUCUGGUGUUAGCUGCUGGUUUUAUUCCCGCCUGAAUUUUACAAUAUAACAAUGUAAGCACAUGAGAUAUAACUACGAGACAUCUGUAAAACGCACAGAUUUAUGUGUGAGUCUCUUUCUUUCAAUGCCACAUGACACUGUAAAUCACACGUUUGAAGCUUCACAUCACAAUAAAUUAAACCUUUCUUACUGUUGAAGGUUAUGCGGAUUCUGGAGUCAAGCCUACGACCUGUAGGAACCUGCUGCACUGCUACAUAUUGGAUCGCACAACGAUGCACUUGACCUGCAUGCUUUUACAAGGUGCCCUGUGAGCUCUCAUCCAAGCAGAGGUCUGCUGUGAGCAGACGUGGCAAAUUGAAGUAACAUACAGAUAGUCCAAUAAAAUACUCGUAAUUUCAGACAAAC
rnacentral:lncRNA from 1 species